GACGAACGCUGGCGGCGUGCCUAAUACAUGCCAGUAGAACGCUGAAACUUGGUGCUUGCACCGAGCGGAUGAGUUGCGAACGGGUGAGUAACGCGUAGGUAACCUGCCUGGUAGCGGGGGAUAACUAUUGGAAACGAUAGCUAAUACCGCAUAAGAGUAGAUGUUGCAUGACAUUUGCUUAAAAGGUGCAAUUGCACCACUACCAGAUGGACCUGCGUUGUAUUAGCUAGUUGGUGGGGUAACGGCUCACCAAGGCGACGAUACAUAGCCGACCUGAGAGGGUGAUCGGCCACACUGGGACUGAGACACGGCCCAGACUCCUACGGGAGGCAGCAGUAGGGAAUCUUCGGCAAUGGACGGAAGUCUGACCGAGCAACGCCGCGUGAGUGAAGAAGGUUUUCGGAUCGUAAAGCUCUGUUGUAAGAGAAGAACGAGUGUGAGAGUGGAAAGUUCACACUGUGACGGUAUCUUACCAGAAAGGGACGGCUAACUACGUG
rnacentral:rRNA from 1 species